rnacentral:rRNA from 1 species
UACGGAGGGGGCCAGCGUUGUUCGGAAUCAUUGGGCGUAAAGGGCGCGUAGGCGGCCACGCAAGUCGGAUGUGAAAUCCCUCGGCUCAACCGGGGAACUGCAUCCGAAACUGCGAGGCUCGAGUCCUGGAGAGGGUAGUGGAAUUCCCAGUGUAGCGGUGAAAUGCGUAGAUACUGGGAGGAACACCGGUGGCGAAGGCGGCUACCUGGACAGGUACUGACGCUGAUGCGCGAAAGCCAGGGGAGCAAACAGG